rnacentral:rRNA from 1 species
AGAGUUUGAUCCUGGCUCAGAUUGAACGCUGGCGGCAGGCCUAACACAUGCAAGUCGAGCGGCAGCACAGAGGAACUUGUUCCUUGGGUGGCGAGCGGCGGACGGGUGAGUAAUGCCUAGGAAAUUGCCCUGAUGUGGGGGAUAACCAUUGGAAACGAUGGCUAAUACCGCAUGAUGCCUACGGGCCAAAGAGGGGGACCUUCGGGCCUCUCGCGUCAGGAUAUGCCUAGGUGGGAUUAGCUAGUUGGUGAGGUAAUGGCUCACCAAGGCGACGAUCCCUAGCUGGUCUGAGAGGAUGAUCAGCCACACUGGAACUGAGACACGGUCCAGACUCCUACGGGAGGCAGCAGUGGGGAAUAUUGCACAAUGGGCGCAAGCCUGAUGCAGCCAUGCCGCGUGUAUGAAGAAGGCCUUCGGGUUGUAAAGUACUUUCAGUCGUGAGGAAGGUGGUGUUGUUAAUAGCAGCAUCAUUGACGUAGCGAACCAGASGCACCGGUUAAAUCUCAACCAGCAGCCGCGGUAAUAC